GAAUCCGUGAGGCCAAGAACCCCAGGUCAGAGAACAGGAGGCUCGCCACCAUCUUGGAAGCGGCCCGCCUCCAUUUUGGAAGUGACCUGCCACCAUCUUGGGAGCUCUGGGGGCAAGGACCCCCCAGAUAUUAUAAGAAGAUUGGGAUAGAUACUGAGUGAGCCUGAGAAAAUCAACUGGAUACACCCCAGUGGGGGAUUUAAUGUAGCAAUAUGCAGGCAUGGGACAUUGGAAAGAGCCAGAUAACCAAAGAAAGAGCAGUAGCUGAGGUGGGAUUCCAGGACCAGGAAUAUUAAUUUCAGGGCAGAGGAGAUUUUUGCUGUUUUGGUCAUGGCAUUAUCUCCAGUAUUUAUGUGACUGGAACAUAUUAGCUGCAGCAGAGCCAUCAAUAAACAACUCUUGAUUUUAGUUGGUCAGAUUCAAGUCAAUGAAAAAAUGACAUUUCUGUGUGUCUACUUCGGGCUAACCGUUAUGGUAGGCACAAGAGAGAUCACAGGGAUGAAUUAGUCCUAGCCCCCUGGGGAUUAUCCUCUCACCCUCUCCCCGCCCUAGUUAUCUUGGUCCUUUUCACAUUAUCAGAACAUAUAUCAUAGCAGGUUCUGUUUCAGGCAAAAUUUCACUUCUUUAUAUGUUUGUUACUACUGUUCAUUUGAGAUCUGCCACUAACCCUCAUUAUGACCUGGGACAUGUCUGUGGCCCCUCUACAAGCUGGCAGGAUAAAAAUUGACCAAAUAUAUGAUGCUGUCACAUAGAUGGAUCCUGUUGUUUGGUGAUUAUAUUGAAAUCUUUACCGUAAAAAUUGUGUUGUCAAAAAUGAAAACAGAUGAUACUGAAUAAUUCACUAGUGCCCUACUCUACAACUUUUCAAACAAAAUUGAAUAUUCUUUUCAACAUUCUCUCUGUAAAAAAAAAAAAAAAAAAAAAAGCAUAUUAGUGACCCUAUAUCCAAUAGCCAGUUCGAACUUUGUUUUUCUCAUGUCAUGCAUCUCUCUUUUGACUUCUCUGAAGUCGUCAAUCUAUUGGCCACUUACCUUGUGACACAGUGGCAGAAGAUAUAGGAAAAUCAUCAACUAGCCACUUUACUAUCUGAGAUUUGUUAGUCUCAAUUGUAAAAAAAAGGAUCAAAUGAUCUAGUGUCCUUUUCCAUUCAAAGACUCUUGAGGUCAGAAGAAUUGAAUAGAAUCACACUGGAGAAAAACCCUAUGAUUGUAAGAAAUGUGGCUAAGCCUUUAGUUUUCCCAGUUCUUUUUGAAAAUACGGAAGAGCUCACAUGGAAGAAAAGCUUUAUGAAUGUAAGAAGCAUGGUGAGGCCUUUAGUUGUUCCAUUUUCACUUGAUGGCAUACUUAUUCUGGAGGAAGACUCUAUGAAUGUAUGGAAUGUGGGAAUGUUUUCAUUUCUCAUAUAUACACAAAGACACAUGGUAACAGACACUGAAGAAAAUUUUAUAAAUACAAGAAUGUAUACUGGAUUAAAGCACUAAUAGUGUAGAAAAUACAGAAAAGUGGUGUGAACCCAGGAGGCGGAGCUUGCAGUGAGCCAAGAUGGCACCACUGCGCUCCAGCCUGGGCAACAGAGUGAGGCUCUGUCUCAAAAAAUAAAAAAGUACAGAGAAGUUACCGCUUUUAACAAUUACUUUAAAAGUCAUGUGAAACUUCUACUGGAAAGAAAUCCUACACGUAAUAUGGAAAGCCUGAUGCAAAAUAAUUAUUGUAUAAUGCUUGUGAAAAUUCACAACAUAAAUAAAAUAUUACAUGACAUAAAUAUAUGGUG